UUUGGUGUCGGAAGCGUAGGAAGUGUUUCCUGCAGCUCUGACGAGGUCACGAAUCAUGUGACGGCGACUUGUGGAGGAUUCUGUCUUCGAAGCUAUUCCUUAAGUGACAGCUGGGAAAAACCGGACGGCCCAGGGUACCGAAGCCCAGGGCGUGGAGACUGAGUGUGCAGAAGAAAGGGAUUCGUCAUGGCGGAUGUGAGUUGGCACCCUGGCACACACACAUGAGGAAGGAGACUGGGAAGUUUCCUUUCCAACUAGAAUUUUUUGCUUGUUUUAGCUCCACCCUCACACUCGGUUAAUUAUUUUCCCUAGGAUCUGGGGUAGGAGACUAAACUGAAUUUGCAUGGUCCUGGGUUUUUUCCUAGAAUGGUGGUGGAGGAUAAACUAAAGACCUUGAGGGUGAGAAAACUGUAUUCUUCCCAAUCCCCAAUCUUCAGGGAAUAAAAAAGGCUCUGUAUAUUUAUAAAUGAUU
rnacentral:lncRNA from 1 species